UAAGAGGUCUGGCCUGCCCAGUGACCACAGUUCAACGGCCGCGGUAUCCUAACCGUGCGAAGGUAGCGUAAUCACUUGUUCUUUAAAUGAGGACUAGUAUGAAUGGCAUCACGAGGGUUAUACUGUCUCCUCUUUUUAAUCAGUAAAACUAUUCUCCCCGUGAAGAAACGGGGAUAUUAUUAUAAGACGAGAAGACCCUAUGGAGCUUUAAAUUUUAUUUCAUUUGCUCUUUUUAUAGCCCGCCCCGACUUCUUAUUCUUAGCUGAGCAUAUUGAUAAUAAAUUUUAGGUUGGGGUGACCGCGGAGCAUAAAUAAACCUCCACGUAGGACAGGCCUAAACCUUGAAUAAUGAGCCACAAUUCUAAAUACUAAUAUAUUAACAUCCAUUGACCCAAUAUUUUUGAUCAACGAACCAAGUUACCCUAGGGAUAACAGCGCAAUCUACUUUGAGAGCCCCUAUCGACAAGUAGGUUUACGACCUCGAUGUUGGAUCAGGGUAUCCCAGUGGUGCAGCCGCUACUAAAGGUUCGUUUGUUCAACGAUUUAAACCCU
rnacentral:rRNA from 1 species